GACGAAGGUGGCAAGCGUUGUUCGGAAUCACUGGGCUUAAAGCGCACGUAGGCGGCCUAUCAAGCGUCCUGUGAAAGCCCCCGGCUCAACCGGGGAACUGCAGGGCGAACUGGCAGGCUUGAGGCAGGUAGAGGCGAGUGGAACUCUUGGUGGAGCGGUGGAAUGCGUAGAUAUCAAGAGGAACGCCGGUGGCGAAAGCGACUCGCUGGGCCUGACCUGACGCUCAGGUGCGAAAGCCAGGGGAG
rnacentral:rRNA from 1 species